rnacentral:rRNA from 1 species
UGCAUAGGAAUCUGCCCGGUAGUGGGGGAUAACCUGGGGAAACCCAGGCUAAUACCGCAUACGUCCUACGGGAGAAAGGGGGCUUCGGCUCCCGCUAUUGGAUGAGCCUAUGUCGGAUUAGCUAGUUGGUGAGGUAAAGGCUCACCAAGGCAACGAUCCGUAGCUGGCCUGAGAGGAUGAUCAGCCACAUCGGGACUGAGACACGGCCCGAACUCCUACGGGAGGCAGCAGUGGGGAAUAUUGGACAAUGGGGGCAACCCUGAUCCAGCCAUGCCGCGUGUGUGAAGAAGGCCCUCGGGUUGUAAAGCACUUUCAGCGAGGAAGAACGCCUGGCGGUUAAUACCCGCCAGGAAAGACAUCACUCGCAGAAGAAGCACCGGCUAACUCCGUGCCAGCAGCCGCGGUAAUACGGAGGGUGCAAGCGUUAAUCGGAAUUACUGGGCGUAAAGCGCGCGUAGGUGGCUUGAUAAGCCGGUUGUGAAAGCCCCGGGCUCAACCUGGGAACGGCAUCCGGAACUGUCAGGCUAGAGUGCAGGAGAGGAAGGUAGAAUUCCCGGUGUAGCGGUGAAAUGCGUAGAGAUCGGGAGGAAUACCAGUGGCGAAGGCGGCCUUCUGGACUGACACUGACACUGAGGUGCGAAAGCGUGGGU